AACGAACGCUGGCGGCGUGGAUAAGACAUGCAAGUCGAACGGGACAGACCGAGUAGCAAUAUUUGGAAUGUUCAGUGGCGAACGGGUGCGUAACACGUGGAUAACAUUCCGGAAAGCGGGGAAUAGCCCAGGGAAACUUGGAUUAAUACCGCAUGUGGCCGCAAGGCUAAAGACGGGGACCGCAAGGCCUGUCACUUUCCGAUUGGUCCGCGGCCUAUCAGCUAGUUGGCGGGGUAAUGGCCCACCAAGGCUACGACGGGUAGCUGGUCUUAGAGGACGACCGGCAACACUGGAACUGAGACACGGUCCAGACACCUACGGGUGGCAGCAGUCGAGAAUCUUUCACAAUGGGGGCAACCCUGAUGGAGCGACGCCGCGUGGAGGAUAAGGUCUUCGGAUUGUAAACUCCUGUCAUGCGAGAACAAGGUACUCAGGCUAAUAACCUGAUUGUUUGAUGGUACCGCAAGAGGAAGAGACGGCUAACUCUGUGCCAGCCGCCGCCGUAAGAC
rnacentral:rRNA from 1 species